rnacentral:rRNA from 1 species
CCUACGGUGUGCAGCAGUGGGGGAUAUUGGACAAUGGGGGGAACCCUGAUCCAGCGACGCCGCGUGAGUGAAGAAGUAUUUCGGUAUGUAAAGCUCUGUCAGCAGGGAAGAAAGAAAUGACGGUACCUGACCACGAAGCCCCGGCUAACUCCGUGCCAGCAGCCGCGGUAAUACGUAGGGGGCAAGCGUUAUCCGGAAUUACUGGGUGUAAAGGGAGCGUAUACGGUUAAGUACGUCUUGAGUGAAAGUCCGGGGCCCAACCCCGGGACUGCUCUGGAAACUAUUGACCUUGAGUGCAGGAGAGGUAAGCGGAAUUCGUAGGGUAGCGGGGAAAUGCGGAGAUAUUAGGAGGAAAACCAGGGGCGAAGGCGGCUUACUGGACUGUAACUGACGUUGAGGCUCGAAAGCGUGGGGAGCAAACAGGAUUAGAUACCCGUGUAGUC